GGGCGUGUGCCCGAGUGGCCAAAGGGGAUGGGCUGUAAACCCAUUGACGCAAGUCUUCGAUGGUUCGAAUCCAUCCGCGCCCA
rnacentral:tRNA from 1 species